GCUAAACUACUAUCCCCUUAGGAAUGAAAGGAAGCAUAUGAUACCUUGUUUGCUGGUAGGAUCAUUUAGAUAGAUUUCCUCCUUAUGGGUAGUUUUUGGAGGACAACCAAGGAAGAAUUUACACAUGAAACCUGGCUCUUUGGCACAGCUGUGACUAUGAAAUAUGUUAAACAUUAAAGCCAGAUUUUCCUGGCUUCCUGGCUGAUGAGGCUUAAUGGCUUCAGGAAAAAUGUUCCAAAGUGUCAAGCAGCCACUCCCAGUGAAGAGAAGGGGGUUCCAGGCAGGGAAAGGCAGCCCUACCUCCUCAAAAAAAAAAAAAAAAAAGGUUGCAGGGUUGGAGAGAAAUGUUUACAAAGGAAAAGGAGCCUAUCUGGAGAAAAUUUGCAUUUUGUUAGGAAUGCAGGGACCAGAUAGCCAGUCAUUCUCCAGCAAAGAAUUUUUAAAAGACAGAUUAUUUGUAACCUGAUUCUGAAACUUGGAGGAACCAGGGCCUACCUUGGAAAGGUUAGAUGGGGCUGAAGACAGCGCCUUGGGUAGUCUUGGUAGAUGGAAUGGGCUAAGCCCUUUGUGGCCUUCCCCCCACCCCCUCCUGAAUUGAAUUCGGCAGCUUAAUUUCUCCCAAGAGGUUCACGGUGUUGGUCAUCCCUGAGAACCAAGCCCAGAGGAGACUUUGAUGUUUUGCACAUUGACUCACCAGAGGACUCUCUGAGGUGGCUGUGCGCUUUCUUCUUGGAAUCUGAGCCAGCCUGGUCAGUGAGAAGUCUGUGAGAAGAAUGAAACUAGGGUUCCUGGGAGUGCACGUGGCCGAAAGGAGACUGUGCUGAGCUCCAGAGGCAGAGGUGCUUACGUGCGGGCUCCUGCACAUGCCAGCCGGGCUGGGGGCCGCUGAGGGCACGCGUGGGGCCGUGUGCAGAGGUCCUCGGUGCUGAAUGCAGUGUGAUGAGCGAGAGGGUGCCCAUUGGCUGGAAGCAUAUCCUGUCUAAACUUUCUUUGCCCACUCGUGCCUGGGAACCAGUGAUGAAGCAGAGCUUCGCCUUUGACAAUGUUGGCUACGAAGGUGGCCUGGACAGUGUGUGCCCUCCUCAGACGGCCACCAGCACCAUCAGCAUUCUGGGUAUGACCUGCCAGUCAUGUAUAAGGUCCAUGGAGGGCAGGAUCUCCAGUUUGAAAGGCAUCGUGAGCAUUAAGGUUUCCCUGGAACAAGGCAAUGCGACUGUGAGGUACGUGCCGUUCAUUCUGAGCCUGCCGCAGGUUUGCCGUUGCAUUGAGGACAUGGGCUUCGAGGCCAGCAUUGCAGAAGGAAAGGUUGCCUCCUGGCCCUUGAGGUCCUUGCCUGGCCUCGAGGCUGUGGUCAGACUUUGGGUGGAGGGCACCCAGGCCCUGACAGGACCUGCCAGUCCUGUGUCAGCUCCAUCGAAGGCAAGCUCAGAAAGCUGCAAGGGGUAGCAAGAGUCCGGGUCUCCCUCAGCACCCAGGAGGCAGUCAUCACUUACUAGCCUUAUCUUAUUCAACCCCAGGACCUCAGGGACCAUGUACACGACAUGGGGUUUGAAGCUGUCAUCAAGAACAGAGUGGCACCCGUAAGUCUGGCACCCAUUGAUAUUGGGCGGUUACGGAGGGCCAACCCAAAGAUGCCUUUGACUUCUGAUAACCAGAAUCUCAAUAACUCUGAGACCUUGGGCUACCAAGGGAGCCAUGUGGUUACCCUGUAGCUGAGACGCGACGGAAUGCACUGUCAGUCUUGUGUCCUGAACAUUGAAGAGAAUAUAGGCCAACUCCCCGGGGUUCAGAAUGUACAAGUGUCCUUGGAGAACAGAAUGGCCCAAGUACAGUACGACCCUUCUUGUGUCACCGCAGGGGCCCUGCAGAGGACCAUUGAAGCUCUCCCACCAGGGAACUUUAAAGUUUCUCUUCCUGCAGCAGCAGGAAGUAAGACAGGUAACAGGUUUUCCGCAUGUGCCGUCCCCACCCCCACCCCGAGAACCCCGGCACCGGGCAGGUGCAAUACUGUGAUGCUCGCCAUUGCGGGCAUGACCUGUGCAUCCUGCGUCCAGUCCAUCGAAGGCCUGAUCUCCCAGAGGGAAGGGGUGCAGCAAAUAUCUGUCUCUCUGGCUGAAGGGACUGCAGUGGUGCUCUAUGAUCCCUCUAUAAUUGGCCUGGAAGAACUCCGAGCUGCCGUCGAGGAGAUGGGAUUUGAGACUUCAGUCCUCUCUGAAAACGGUUACAGCAAUCAUGUUGGAAACUACAGUGUGGGGAAUUCCUCGGCGCACACCACAGCCGGCGUACCUGUGUCUGUGCAGGAAGGGGCUCCCCAUGCUGAGGGGCUCCCUGGAAACCACAGCCCUGGUCGCCCGUCCAGGUCCCCACCAGCCUCUACCUCUGUGGCAGCACAGAAGUGUUUUUUGCAGAUCACAAGCAUGACCUGUGCAUCCUGUGUGUCCAACAUAGAGAGGAAGCUGCAGAAAGAAGCAGGCGUCGACUCGGUGCUGGUUGCCCUGAUGGCCAGAAAGGCAGAGGUGAAGUAUCACCCAGACGUCAUCCAGCCACUGGAGAUCGCUCAGCUCAUCCAGGACCUAGGCUUUGAGGUGACGGUGCUGGAAGACUACGCGGGCUCUGAUGGCGACCUGGAGCUGAUCAUCACGGGGAUGACCUGCACUUCCUGUGUUCACAACAUAGAGUCCAAACUCAAGAGGAUGGCCGGCAUCACCUAUGCCUCUGUGGCCGUCGCCACCAGCAAAGCCCACGUGAAGUUCGAUCCUGAAAUCAUCGGUCCGCGAGAUAUUGUCAAAGUUAUCGAGGAAAUCGGCUUUCAUGCUUCCCCAGCCCAGAGAAACCCCAAUGCACAUCACUUGGACCACAAGGUGGAAAUAAAGCAGUAGAAGAAGUCUUUUCUGUGCAUCCUGGUGUUCGGCAUCCCUGUGAUGGGUCUGAUGAUCUACAUGUUGGUGCCCAGCAGCAUGCCCCAUGAGUCCAUGGUCCGGGACCACAACGUCAUUCCAGGACUGUCCAUUCUGAAUCUCAUCUUCUUCAUCCUGUGUACCUUUGUCCAGCUCCUUGGUGGGUGGUACUUCUACGUCCAGGCCUACAGGUCUCUGAGGCACAGGGCGGCCAACAUGGAAGUGCUCAUUGUGCUGGCCACAAGCAUCGCCUACACCUACUCGCUCGUCAUCCUGGUGGUGGCCGUGGCUGAGAGGGCGGAGAGGAGCCCUGUGACCUUCUUCGACAAUCCCCCCCCCCCCCCCCCCCCCCCCGCCCCAUGCUCUUUGUGUUCAUUGCCCUGGGGCAGUGGCUGGAACACACAGCAAAGAGCAAAACCUCAGAAGCCCUUGCCAAACUCCUGUCUCUCCAAGCCACAGAAGCCACCGUCAUGACCCUUGGCGAGGACAACUUGAUCCUCAGAGAGGAGCAGGUACCCAUGGAGCUGGUGCAGCUGGGCGAUGUCAUCAAGGUGGUGACAGGAGGAAAGUUCCCGGUGGAUGGGAAAGUCCUGGAGGGCAAUACCAUGGCCGACGAGUCCCUCAUCACAGGAGAAGCCAUGCCUGUCACGAAGAAACCCGGGAGCACGGUGAUUGCCGGAUCCAUGAAUGCACAUGGCUCUGUGCUCGUUACCGCCACCCACGUGGGCAACGAUACCAUGUUGGCUCAGAUCGUGAAGUUGGUAGAAGAGGCUCAGAUGUCAAAGACCCCUAACAAGCAUAUCUCCGAGGCGGAGGUGAUCAUCCGGUUUGCGUUCCAGACGUCCAUCACGGUGCUGUGCAUCGUCUACCCCCUGAUCCCUGGGCUUGGCCACGCCCACAGCGGUCAUGGUGGGCACCGGGGUGGCCGCCCAGAAUGGCAUUCUCAUCAAAGGAGGCAAGCCUCUGGAGAUGGCCCACAAGAUAAAGACCGUGAUGUUUGACAAAACUGGCACCAUUACGCACGGGGUCCCCAAAGUCAUGAGGGUCCUCCUGCUGGUGGAUGUGGCCACGCUGCCCCUUAGGAAGGUCCUCGCCGUGGUGGGGACUGCGGAGGCCAGCAUGGCCAUCACCAAGUACCAUAAAGAGGAACUGGGAACGGAGACAUUGGGAUACUGCACGGACUUCCAGGCAGUGCCAGUCUGCAGAAUUGGCUGCAAAGUCAGUAGCGUGGAGGGCAUCCUGGCCCCCGGCGAGCGCCAGCAGAGCAAACAGGCCGCUCCCCCGGGCAUGGUUGGUGGCGUUCCCGAGGAAACAGAUGAGACGCCCCAGACCUUCUCCGUGCUGAUUGGGAACCGUGAAUGGAUGAGGCGCAACGGCCUGACCAUAUCCAGCGACAUCAGUGACGCGAUGGCGGACCAUAAGAUGAAAGGCCUGAGAGCCAUCCUGGUGGCCAUCGACGGUGUGCUGUGCGGGAUGAUCGCCAUCGCCGACACCGUCAAGCAGGAGGCAGCCCUGGCUCUGCACAUGCUCAAGAGCAUCGGCAUGGACGUGGUCCUGAUCACAGGAGACAACCGCAAGACGGCCAGAGCCAUUGCCACCCAGGUUGGCAUCAACGAGGUCUUUGCAGAGGUGCUCCCGUCUCACAAGGUGGCCAAGGUCCAGGAGCUCCAGAACGAAGGGAAGAAAGUCGCCAUGGUGGGAGACGGGGUUAAUGACUCUCCAGCCCUGGCCCGGGCCGACGUGGGGAUUGCCAUCGGGACGGGCACAGAUGUUGCCAUCGAGGCUGCUGACGUCGUCCUCAUCAGAAACGAUCUGCUGGACGUGGUGGCCAGCAUUCACCUCUCCAAGAGGACCGUGUGGAGGAUACGCCUCAACCUGGUGCUGGCACUGAUCUAGAACCCGGUCGGGAUACCCAUUGCGGCGGGGGUCUUCAUGCCCAUCAGCGUCGUGCUGCAGCUGUGGAUGGGCUCGGCGGCUAUGGCGGCCUCCUCCGUGUCUGUGGUGCUCUCAUCGCUGCAGCUCAAGUGCUAUAAGAAGCCCGACCUGGAGAGGUACGAGGCCCAGGCGCAGGGCCGCAUGAAGCCCCUGACGGCGUCCCAGGUCAGCGUGCACAUUGGCAUGGAUGACCGGCGGCGGGACUCCCCGCGGGCCACGCCCUGGGACCAGGUCAGCCGUAUCAGCCAGGUGUCUCUGUCCUCCCUGAAGUCCGACAACAAGCUGUCCCGACACAGCGCCGCAGCCGACGACAGCGGGGACACAUGGUCUCUGCUGCUGAACGACCAUGACGAGGAGCAGUGCAUCUGAGCGCUGCAGGCGGGCGCAACCCGCUCCGGCUCCUCGGCUCCUCGGAGGAGCGGCCCAGCUGUCCGCAGUGAGGAGGCGGGGCUCCUGGCCUGGCCCCACGUCCCCCCCGGUCUCGCCCGGUCCCGCCCGGUCUCCGGCCUGGCCACCCACGCUGUGGGCGUGGGCCUGCCCCCAACUGCUGGACCCACGGGGCCAGGACGGCCCGCCCCCCGCUUUAGCACUUGCAGUGACCACUUGUGAGAUGAUCUCAUCAGGACCAAAAACCUCGCUGGGCCUUGCCUUAGGACCCCCAGGAGCCUCACGUUGGGUUCUUCCUGAUGCCACAGUUUACCUCAAAUACACCCACUGAUCUCUGCGGGCAAAAAAAAAAAAAAAAAAAAAAAAAAAA